rnacentral:lncRNA from 1 species
AAAUAUCAAAUUAACACCUUCGUUUUCCCUAAUUAUAAAAUUAGGGUUCAAAUUUGGAAUUAGGGUUUUGUAAUCAAUUUGUUAAGAUUAACCUUAAUUAAUCUUUUAAUUAUUUACACUUAUGCCAUUAAGUUCCCGAUUUAGGGUUUCAUGCACCGAAUUAGGGUUUCGGAUACCCGGAACUGAAACUAGGGUUUCCAGAAUCGAUUUCUAGGGUUUUUCGUUAAACGCUAGGGUUUUCUAA